ACCAAAGGGAUUCUAUUCUUUGUUACUAGUUCACACAUUCUAGGACUUAUUCAUAGAAUGCAAACACCUUCUGGAACAGACCUAUCUCUAAAACAAAAGAAAGGGCAACUAUUAAUUAUUUAUGCAGUUCUCUUUUUUAUAUCUGCUGGUCUGGUCUGGUUUGGUUUGAUGGGGAGGGGAGUUGGCUCCAAAAUGCUUAAUUAUUCAAAUUUUUUCUAAUCUGUUUUUCAAAUUUCCUCCACAGCAAUUUACAUUAGAAAACAAAAUAAAAAGGGUUACAGAAUGAUCGCACAACAAAUUAAAAACAUUAUAAAAAUCUGCAAAACUAAUAAAAACAGGAGACACAGUCAUAAAAUGCUUUGUGGGGGGAAAAAGACAUGUUUAAAUUCUGCCUAAAAUUUCUGAAUGAUUUUGCAGGAAAGAAUACCUGGAAGUUGCAUUACCACCACUAAGAAGGACCUGUUUGUGGCACUAAACAAUACGAUCAGAAGCUAAUGACAGACCAGAGAGCACACUCUUUAAUGUUGCUUGAAGCAAAUUGUAAUGCCUGCAGCUGCCCUUCAAGACUCAAAUUCCAUGCCAGAUUCCAGAUCCUACUGGGUCACAUCAUGUGCACGGAUGUACAGAGUACACCCAACCCUGAGCAUAACACAACAGGUGAACUGGAUUCACCACUUCAAAGAGUUCGUUAUCUCCUCUUCCGCCUUUUGCCUUUGUUUCUCGAUGUCCACCAUCUAAUGUAUGUAGACCACAGUUCCCUGAGUCUGGACAUUGCAGAGAACUGUGGAAAUUGGAAAUGCAUUAUUCUGGUGUCCUUCUCUGCCACACAAAAGAAGAAACUGUGAGAGAAGAUACCGAGAUUGUAGACAGAGCUGCCAUGCCAGGAGGGAAAGAGGAGGAGGAAGAAGAAAAGGAGGAGGAGGAGGACUACUUCUAUGACCAAGACCAUGCCUAGCAUUUCUGUUGAUG